CACGUAGGGUGCGAGCGUUUGUCCGGAAUUAUUGGGCGUAAAGAGCUCGUAGGCGGUGUGUCGCGUCGGCCGUGAAAACCUGCAGCUUAACUGUGGGCUUGCGGUCGAUACGGGCAUCACUGGAGUUCGGCAGGGGAGACUGGAAUUCCUGGUGUAGCGGUGAAAUGCGCAGAUAUCAGGGAGGGAACACCGGUGGGCGAA
rnacentral:rRNA from 1 species